rnacentral:rRNA from 1 species
GGUCAAGUUAUUAAGGGUGCAGGGCGGAUGCCUUGGCACUAGGAGCCGAUGAAGGACGUGAUAAGCUGCGAUAAGCUUCGGGGAGUUGCACGUAAACUUUGAUCCGAAGAUUUCCGAAUGAGGAAACUCACUUAGAGUAAUGUCUAAGUAUCAUUAAGUGAAUACAUAGCUUAAUGAGGGGAACUCAGGGAACUGAAACAUCUAAGUACCUGAAGGAAGAGAAAGAAAUUCGAUUCCGUAAGUAGCGGCGAGCGAACGCGGAUUAGCCCAAACCAAUAAAGUUUUCUUUAUUGGGGUUGAGGACAUACCACAUAUAAGAGGUCAUUAUAGACGAAGAAGUUUGGAAAAACUCAUCAUAGAAGGUAAUAAUCCUGUAGUCAAAAUAAUAAUUCUUUAGGUAUGAUCCAGAGUACCACGGGACACGUGAAACCCUGUGGGAAGCAGGAGGGACCACCCUCCAAGGCUAAAUACUACCUAGUGACCGAUAGCGUAUAGUACCGUGAGGGAAAGGUGAAAAGAACCCCGGGAGGGGAGUGAAAUAGAACCUGAAACCCUGCACUUACAAGCUGUGGAAGCACAUUUCUUGUGUGACCGCGUACUUUUUGUAGAACGGGCCAACGAGUUACGUUAAGUAGCAAGGUUAAGCACUUAAGGUGCGGAGCCGUAGCGAAAGCGAGUUUUAACUGAGCGUUCAGUUACUUGACGUAGACCCGAAACCGGGCGACCUACCCAUGAGCAGGAUGAAGCGAAAGUAAAAUUUCGUGGAGGUCCGAACCCACGAGCGUUGAAAAGCUCGGGGAUGACUUGUGGGUAGCGGUGAAAUUCCAAUCGAGCCCGGAGAUAGCUGGUUCUCCCCGAAAUAGCUUUAGGGCUAGCCUCAAGGUGAGAGAUACGGAGGUAGAGCACUGAAUGUCCUAGGGGGUAUUGCACCUACCGAAGACUAUCAAACUCCGAAUGCCGUCAUCUUAUACUUGGGAGUCAGACUGUGGGUGAUAAGAUUCAUAGUCGAAAGGGCAACAGCCCAGAUCGUCAGCUAAGGUCCCUAAAUGUAAGUUAAGUGGUAAAGGAUGUGGGAUUGCACAGACAACCAGGAUGUUGGCUUAGAAGCAGCCACUCAUUCAAAGAGUGCGUAAUAGCUCACUGGUCGAGUGAUCCUGCGCCGAAGAUUUCCGGGGCUAAAACUUACUACCGAAGCUACGGCAUCAGUAAUGAUGGGUAGGGGAGCUUCCCAUACGGGUUGAAGCAUGACCGUAAGGACAUGUGGACAGUAUGGGAGUGAGAAUGUUGGCAUGAGUAGCGAG